CCCCCCCCCCCAAGAAAGAAAAAUGUAAUUAUUAUGCCUAGAAAAGUGAGCAGGAGGCUACAGAUCGGUGACGCUCCCAUACGGGAAAUGUAAGUUCCAAGUUGUGUAUAAUGAAAUUUACUAAUUGAUCAAGUUGUCCAAGAGAACGGCACAAUCCAAGUAAGGAACAUAAUAUAAAAGCGACAGUGAAAUGCUGUCUCCAUUGUAAAUAGUUGGUCGUUUCAGGCUCCGGCCAUGACAACACAGACAUCACUGAGAUUGAUUUGACUGACAAUACUAAGAGGAUGUGAUUAUUAAUAAUUGUAUUGAGCAAAUGUAUGAAGAAUAUGUCAACAUUUACAGUAAUAAACAACCAAAAUAUUGUAUAUAAUACUGGGUCAGAAAUGUACGUAGGUACAUAUCCAAAUGGAAGCUGUUAUGAUAUCUAACCCUAACUGUGUACAUUACAGUAACUAUUUCAUACAUAGUUUUGGCUUUUGCACUAGUCUUUAUCAGCUAUUAGUAGUAUUGGACGGAAGGGGAAGUAACUGAGACAGGACACCUUCAUUGUGUCCUUCCUUUUUUUAUAGUCAUCUCAGCUUCAAACUGUCAGUUUUUUUUCCAGAAUAAAAUACCUAUACUCAGAUGUGGAAGAAUUAGCGGAGUUGCAGACGGUAGUGCUUCAAAAGUACCAUGACAAGAACAAAAGGAGGGAGGAAGAACAGUUUUCUUCCUUUUUUUUAAAAAAAAGUUAAAAUUAGGAUCAGAAAAUACAAAUCAAACAAAUGAUUUCAGAAUAAAACUAUCUUAUUCCAUA